rnacentral:lncRNA from 1 species
CAUAGCAGGAUGUAGAGACCCAACGGCUGCCAUGGAAAGCACUCCCAGCCCCUGCACGGGGCACGUGGAGGCCAUCCUCAAGUUUGCUGGAACUUAUGGAAACUGUUAUGGAUGGGGAGACUGGUGUCCUCCAAGUGGAAGAUUCUGGAAAUUGCCAGAAGAGUUAAGGUGCACCUUCCACCUGGGAGUGUAGGCUGGCGCAUUCUCGCCAAUACCUCCCAAGAAAACAUUCUAGGUCCAAAUCGGGGGUGAUGGGUGAAGAGGAGAAAGUGGGGGUGCUCGUCGGCUGAGCCUUCAUCACGCUGAGUCUGUGGGGUUUUAGCUGAUUUCAGUUUUCCCCCCAGAACUGGGGGAUGGUUGCAUCCAGCGUGGCCUCGCUGCCCAUAUGCCAUUCAGCUCCUGUCUGCCUUUUUGUUUACACUGGGGACACAAUGGGAGCCAUAGUCCUUCCAAUACAUCAUUUAUAAGUGUAUUCUACCUCUGAAUGUACAGGCAGAGCUGGCUGUGGGUGAAUAAGCUCUGUGAAUAUUGCCAAGACACUGUGCUUUGUUCAGCAUUAUUCUUCACAAUAGAUACCACACUUUGGAAGUAAUUUUAAAAAGGGAAUCAAAAUAGUGGUACUUUUAGCCUUUGUUUCUUUUAUACCACACUGCAUUCUCUGUCUCUCAUUCAGCCGCUCCCAUUAUACUGACAAAUUAAAUAAACCCCUCCAUCGCAGAAAGGCUCGGGCAGGCAGGACUUCACUCCGCGGCAGCCCCGGGAAGUCGAAAUAAACAUUGAGGCGGUUUCUGCUAGUGAUUUCAGCUAACUUGGGUCAAAGAGAAAAAAACCUGGGGGGGCCUUCAGAUGUGAGUUGGCCAGCAGCACCCAAGGGCUGGCCUCGGCAGCAGGUAAUGGACCAGCGCGGAGGGCUGCCGUUUCUAGAGGUGCUGAGCGUGCUUCCUGCUGCGUGGCCCCUGGGAGCCAAACAGGAAGGGGAGUCAGCGUGUAAGAAUCCAGGCCUGACAACAGCAGGUGUCCUUCUCGUGGUGGGAAGAGGAGACGAAGGUGCAGAGGGUUGAAUUGUGUCACCCCAAAACUCACGUGUUGAGGUCCCAGCCCCCAGCGCCCCAGAAU